ACGGUUUACAGACAGACAUGAGGACAAAAUACUCAUAAGCAUAAAAUAAUAAAUACAUCUAAAAAUGAAUGAUGCUCAUUUCAGGUGACUAUCAAUAGGUAACAUGCAUCUUUCUAACUAUAAUAAUAUGUUAUCUCCUACAACCCUGGUUCAAUCUUAAUGCUUUAUGUAUUAUUUUAUUUCACUGGGUUCUUCCUCAGUCCAUAAUUAUCAGCAGACACAAGAGAGUAUUGGUUCCUCCCGCUGACUCCAGUUGCAUUUUUCCACACUAGGUUGGUGGCAAAUGAGGACAGAAGUGAUGAAAGCAAUGUGGAUCUACUCAAGUCCUGUGAGCACAGCUGAUGAAGUCAGCAACAUUGAGCAACUGCAGAUGGAAGAUCCGGCGUGUACUGCAGAGUUUCAGCUCUUAAAUAUAAUCCGCUACCAGCAUCAGCCUUAUGGAUGGGAGUGCUGGACCAGGAUGUCUAGUUCAACAGAGAAAUGAAUGACUAGAAGACAUAAAUGGCACAAGAUUCAUCUGCUUGCAGAACAGACUCUGAUCACUUUUCUUCAAGUCUUAUGGUUUUGCCUGUGUGUAUGGAGAAGGUGCUCUCCAGCUGAGCACUCUGGUCUUCAUUCAAGGUCUCUUGCUAAGAGUCUCUUUUCUGGAGAUAAGAACUUGGACCAGAUAUGAUAGCAGGUACCAAACUGGAGAAAAGAUUUAUAUUUUAGUGUUAGAUGAGAGAACUUCACCAAAAGAAACUUGGGGGAAAAGGACUUGUUUGGCUAUGCUUUCAAAUCAUUGAUAAUUAUUGAUAGAAGUCAGGACAGGAGCCCAAACAGAGCAGGAACCUGGAGGUAGAAGCUGAUGCAGAAGCCAUUGAGGCUUACUGGUUUGCUUAAUGUGGCUUGCUCAGCCUGUUUUCUUAUCGAACCCCAGACCAACAGUCCACGGAUGGCAUCACUACCCCUCCCUCUCCCACUAAUCACCAGUUAAUAGAAUGUUCUACAGCUGGAUCUUGUGGAAGCAUUUUCUCACUUAAAGUUCUCUCCAUUCUGAUGACUUUAUCUUGGCCUGUUAUUGAAGAAAGGUUCACUCAUUUACUUCUUCAGUCAAUCAAAGCAUCCCUCUCCUCCCUGUCAGAGGAAUCGGGCUCCUGACAACAAGAAAGACAAAGAACCAAAGUGGAAAAACAAAAACUAAUGCUCUCAGCUGAUUACCUACCUGCUAGACUCUGGAGCAGUAGAUUUUGUCUUUCCUAAUGCUAGCUAUGACCCUAUAAUAGAGUGCCU
rnacentral:lncRNA from 1 species